CCUACGGGAGGCAGCAGUGGGGAAUUUUGGACAAUGGGCGCAAGCCUGAUCCAGCCAUGCCGCGUGCAGGAUGAAGGCCUUCGGGUUGUAAACUGCUUUUGUACGGAACGAAAAGACUCUGGUUAAUACCUGGGGUCCAUGACGGUACCGUAAGAAUAAGCACCGGCUAACUACGUGCCAGCAGCCGCGGUAAUACGUAGGGUGCGAGCGUUAAUCGGAAUUACUGGGCGUAAAGCGUGCGCAGGCGGUUAUAUAAGACAGAUGUGAAAUCCCCGGGCUCAACCUGGGAACUGCAUUUGUGACUGUAUAGCUAGAGUACGGCAGAGGGGGAUGGAAUUCCGCGUGUAGCAGUGAAAUGCGUAGAUAUGCGGAGGAACACCGAUGGCGAAGGCAAUCCCCUGGGCCUGUACUGACGCUCAUGCACGAAAGCGUGGGGAGCAAACAGGAUUAGAUACCCUGGUAGUCCACGCCCUAAACGAUGUCAACUGGUUGUUGGGUCUUCACUGACUCAGUAACGAAGCUAACGCGUGAAGUUGACCGCCUGGGGAGUACGGCCGCAAGGUUGAAACUCAAAGAGAGUAGNGNGNGAGAGNGCGAGACGACAGAGGGAGAGG
rnacentral:rRNA from 1 species